GACGAACGCUGGCGGCGUGCUUAACACAUGCAAGUCGAACGGAAAGGCCCAAGCUUGCUUGGGUACUCGAGUGGCGAACGGGUGAGUAACACGUGGGUGACCUGCCCUGCACUUCGGGAUAAGUCUGGGAAACUGGGUCUAAUACCGGAUAGGACGAUGGUUUGGAUGCCAUUGUGGAAAGUUUUUUAGGUGUAGGACGAGCACGGGGCCUAUCGUCUUGUUGGUGGGGUAAUGGCCUACCAAGGCGUCGACGGGUAGCCGGCCUGGCAGGGUGUACGGCCACAUUGGGACUGAGGUACGGCCCAGACGCCUACGGGAGGCAACAGGGGGGAAUAUUGCACAAUGGGCGCGAGCCAGAUGCGGCGACGCCGGGUGGGGGAUGACGGGCUUCAGGUUGGAAACUCCUUUCGCAAGGGACGAAGCGUUUUUGUGACGGAACCUGGAGAAGAAGCACCGGCUAACUACUU
rnacentral:rRNA from 1 species